AUGUAGUUUAACUCUCUGAAAUACAGGAUCUAGGAAGAAGUUGUUUCCUGAAGCUGUUGAUGUUAUUCCAAUUUGCCCUUCAGAAUCAAGAUGUGAAGGAUCUAGUAAGAAGUUGUUUCCUAAAGCUGUUGAUUUAAUUCCGGCUGUUGAUGUUAUUCCGAUUUGCCCUUCAGACUCAAGAUGUGAAGGCAAAUCGAGAAUCAUCGUCCCUGCCCUUAGUAAGGGAAAGGAUAGGAAGCAUAGAUGCUUUGUCUGCGAUCAAGAUAAGUUU